GGUGCCACAGGCGCGCGCAGCGGGGCUGCGCGGGGGCUGCGCGGGCGCUGCCCUGCGCGGGGCCGCGUCCUGCCGCCGCCCUGGCCAGCGGCUCCCGCGCAGCGGCCGCGGUGGCGGUUCAGGAGCGCGGGGCUGCUGUUACGGGCGAAUGUGAGAGAAAUCACUCUUGGAAAAACACUGGCGUUUUUUUUCCGCCCGUGCUUAUCCUUUAUUGGGGAAAAACCCCAAACCUUUCUUUGGCUUGCUGUGGCUAAUUUUAGUGCUGUGUUGAGCCUAAUUAUGUUAGUAUAAUGAAGGGCUGCUUCAAGUUAUGUAAUGACCCUUGCAUUGUAUUGAUAUGAAUGAAGAAUUAACCUUAAAAGGUUGCCCUUCUCACGAAAUGGAUUGCACACUCGGAUCGCUCUAUUGAUUAGUUUAGGUAUUUAAAGUGCUGCAUUUUAUCUCACUAGCCACCUGGUAAAUUUGUCAUGAUGAUGCUUACAGGAGCAAAUUGACAUUGUUUAUUUUCCCAAACCUUUUUGGCAUAUUUCUCAGCCUCUUAUUGCACCUCUGAGCUAUACAGUAUUGUAUGAAGGGGCAGCGAUAACCCUUCUGCUUAAAUAAGCAUGACAGUGUAACAUCUCUGUUCAGCUGAAACGCCAGUGCAAGGGGUGCUGCAGUGCAAAAUGUGCAUUACGCUGCAGCCGGCGGAGCGAGGGCAGCAAUCCCAGACAGGCUUUCGGGAGGGCUGGAGUCUCCCCAUCUCGGCUGGGUGAUGGGAGGGCUCAUCGGAGCUCCUGUCUGCUCCAGAAACCGGAGUUCGUUCCUCCUCGGAGCUGCCAGAUAACAGGUGCCAUCCUAAUAAUUGCAAAGUGCUGGAGGACCGGGUAGCAGGAGGGAUUUUGACUGUGACGUGUGCAACUAAGCAAAAAGAGACAGGACGCGUGUAUUUGUGACAGCAGAGAUCUCUGAGGAAGCACUAGGAUGAUGUUAAAUAGGGGCAGUCAUUUAUUUGUACUGAAGUGUUUUGAUUUUAAAAAAUAUUUCCCCGGACAUGUCGGUGGGGGGGUUUUGUGCUCUCGUUCUCGUGGAAGCUGAGCCGCUCCUGCACGCGCUGCCGGGGCGAAGGCCGCUCGGUGGCUGCUGGGCCGCGGUGGCGUUUCCCAGCCGGCCCGCGGGGCUGCCGUGCCGUGCCGGGGCGGGCGAGGGCUCGGUGCUCCCCCCGCGCCGGCCGUGGGCUGGAGGAGGCCAUCGGAGCGGCAGCAGCCAGCACCGCGCCGGUGUUUCCACCGCAGCUCUGCAACCGCCGGCGGCUCCUCUAGUCACCGUCUCCGGUUCCCCGGGUUCACGUACCCGGCUUUCGGUCUCUGCAUGCGCUGCGUUGCCACCCCCUUCCUAGCCUAAAUCCCGGUUGGCGGUGGGAAUAUGCACGCUGCUGAAAUCUCCAAACAAAAUGGAAAUGGAAAGAGUCGAGUUUAGCCGAAAAGCACAGCGAAUUCUGCGAGCAAUCUGUAAUGCAAUUAGCGUUAUUUGACUUGGCAGCCUUCGCGGGGCCUGCGUGGGCUGCGGGCUGCGAGGGCUCGCAGGCAGCUUCGCGCAGCGAGCCAGAGUCGGAGGAACUCGGGGUCAUUUAUGUGUCUGAAGUCUCUCCCGGUCCCCCCGCUUCCUCCUGCCGGCGCUCGGGAGGCUGCGGCCGGCCUCGCUGCGGGCCUCCCCGCCUUCGCCCCGGCUCGCGGUGCCCCGCGGCGCCCCGUCCCACCGCGGCAGCGGGAAGUUGUUUGGCGCGGGAACGCGCUGAGCCAUCUGUGUUCCCGCGGCUGAAUUAUUUCUUGCAAGGGAAAUAACAUUAGGUUGGUGUAUCUGGCCUGCUAAUUGCUUUAACUGGCUGAAAAGAUCUCGGUCUGUUCUUGAACUGCUUGUGCAAACUUAGCAGAAUAGUGUUACCUUCAGAUCCUGCCCUCUCAGCAGCCAGAAAGUAUAAACAAGUCUUCUUGUAAGAAAAGCAGCACAAAGUUUCAAAUUGUGCUAGCAGAGGUUAUGAGAGACAGGAAGUUACGGGCAAAUUGAUUUCACCAUUGGGAAACUAGGGAAUUUUUUUCCCCAAGUAAUAACUGUAAAGCAUGCUAAUGCUAUUCAACAUUAGUGCAUUAAAGUGUGGCCUUAUUAAUUCAAGACAUAAAGGCAACAAAAUAAGCUGUUAAAUUUAAAAUAUAAUACAUAUAUAAUGAGAAAAAAUGUGUGAAAGCUUUAUUCAAAUGAAAAUGCAGAAUUGUUUGAGCUAGUGAAGUAUCUUUUGUGCUGAGUUAUGAGCAUAUGUAAUAGAUUUAAUUAUUAAUUUCUCCAUUGUUCUAUGCACACAGACAGGGUUCAAGGCACAGUCAUUCUCUGGCUUUCAUAGAUCUAAUUUGUAUAAUUAUUGCCUGAAUAAAGAAUUGCUCCCAUUCCUAGCUCACUUUUUCCCUUUCCUAAGUGCUACCUCGCUGCUGCUUUGCGAAGGGAGAGCACCUGCCAGGGCUGCAGGAAUCAGCUGAUCACUUCCCGUGAUGAGGCGCGCUCCCGAUGACGCUCCUUUUCAAGCCUUUUUGUCGAAAUGAAUUAUUGUGCAUCCUUUUUAAUUUCAUUGAACAAAUUACAUUUGUCAAGGUCUGGCUUUGUAAAUAAAUAGCUAGAGACACAUGGAUGCAUAUUGCGGCUGUUCAAGGUCUCUCGUUCUAUUUAUGGAAGCCAGAUGAAUGUGAAACAAAAGAGAAACUUUUCUCUAAAAGCAAUUAUCUUUCUGCAUUCCCAUCAGGAUAAUUAUAUUGCAGGGAAUUUUAAGAAGUCAUACUGAAGUAGAACUGAAUACUUAAAAUCAUGGCUGAAUUGAUAUGCAAAAGUCGAGCAGCGCGUGUUGCCUCGUGCUAACACAGCACACCGUGACUGGCUCUUCUCGUACAACUUCGCACCUGGAAUGGGGCUGCAUAUCCGGAUAAAGGCAGGAUGGAAAUCCAAGAGUAUUCCAGAGAAAUGAAAAAAUGUUUGUGGGAAUGAGUACAGAACUGCUUUGUUCAUUUAGAGGUGCUACCAUUCAGGCACUGAGAAGCUGGGGCCCCUUCUGUGGGUACUUUUAACCGUGACUUCAGAGACAUACUGCAUUACUAUAACAGAGCAUCUUCCUUGCUUUUCAGGUUAAACAGGAACAUGCAAAUCAAAGGUCAAAAACCAAGCUAUGAAGAAAUGACGUAUUUAGCCCAACCUUGGCAAAAAGCUUUAGUGAGCCAGGAGAUGUCCGUGAGCCCUGGUGCCAUGGCAGGCAGCUGCGCGGAGCCGAAUCCGGAGAGGUGCCCUUCGCCCGGGACCGCGGCCGCGCCGCACGCCUGCAUCCGCUGCAGCCUCCAGUUUUCUUUUCCGCGAAAGCCGUUUUGGCUUUCUUUCCUUCUUCUUUCCUUUCCGGCUGGGUGUGUUGCCGCUCCGCACCCUGGGAGCGGGUGCCGGCACGAGGAGCCCUGCGCGGUGGCAGUUGCACCCAUGGCACUGACGCAGCUCCCCUUCCCCCCAGGUUGCCCCCAAAACACACAGCCGCGGGCCUGCUGCGCCCGCGUUUCCAUUUCAUCCAAGCCUCAUCUCUCCUUUUUCCAGAGGUCCCAGGGCGCCGGGGCUUCCUUGCGUGCAGCCGUGGGCAGGGGCUGCAGGGAGCGGUUCCCUCCUUCCCUCCUGGCACCGGGCGGCAGGGCAGGAGCAUGAGGAAAACCGGUCUAUGGAGGCGCCUCCAGCUCGUUGUCCUUCUGCAGGUGCGCGGGGCGGACCUCCGCGGCGCGGCGAGGGGCGCUGCCCGGCCCGACUCCCUGCAGCGCCGCCAAGGCCCUCGGUGCCGACCCCGAAGAAGUUCUGAAAUGCUUCUGAGGAGGCCGGCGAUGGUCCUAGUUCCGCCCCGGUGAUUGCUCAUGGACGCCGAGGCAGAACUGCACCUUUGCUGAAGGUAGGAGCUGUUCUACAUGGCCGGUGGUUUGCUUAGCUUUAACGUGAGUACAAGCACAGAAGGAAGUAAAAUCUAAUGAAAAUGCUUAGAAGAUUUUGUUUGGAUACCCCACAGCAGCCCCAGUUUGUACUGAAGGGGGAAAGAUCUCUUUAUAGCCAGACCUGCAGAAACCAGAAAUUUAAUCUUUCUACACAACUUAUUUUAUUGCAUUUUUAAUUUUCUCUUGCAUUACCCUGACCCUUUUCUAUAGCUUUUGACGCCUGGUGCUUAAUUACUUAUCAUUAGCAAUGUACAUGGGGGCCUUCCUGCAUAUUUAUAAAUGUGAUCAUUAGUACAUGGGAAGACAAAGACUUCUUUAAGACCAUCAUUACUUAUUCUGUUUUCAUAGAAAUGUUCAUUAGAGAAACUACCCACCUGGUUAAAUAAUUAUAAUUAAGAAUUCGUAAUCUCCUUUGCAUUUUUAACUUGAUCUCCAGGACGUGUGUGCAUAGCUAAAGGAGCCUUGUUUGGCCGUCAUACUAUCUUUUCAUUUUGAUUUGAGUCGUCAAGCAGAUUUAAAUGCUGUGUUUUGAAACUGUAUACCCUAAGAAUGAUUUAUUGAAAGAUAGGUUGUUAAAAAAAGAGAGAAAGAAAGAAAGAAAUCAACCCAGCAAUUAUCUCUGAAUUCAUUAAGGGUGCACUGGCAGAGAAAGGUUAUAUAAGCCAUUUACUGUAAUGCAUGGUAUGGAGUUAAAACAAAAUGUCACCGAAGCCUGAUUUCUCUGCCCCAUCUGCGGCUCUCACCACAGACACCGGGCUGCUGCAGAGCACGGCCAGAGAGGUGCCGCUCCGGUUUUACGGCACGAUAUUACUUGCAAAUGCUGCCAAUAAGCGCGAUAGCCUCAGCCCCAGCGCUGGCAGCGACCGCGCGGCCGUGCCGGGAAACCUGUCGGGAAGCGCGGGAGUGGCGGCGGCGCCGAGGCUGCCGGGACGGCGAGCGGGGGACACUGGGCAGGGGACGCCGGGCGGCUGCCACCGUCCCGCUCCCGCACUGCGCCCGGCUCCAGCGGCACCGAGAGCGGCCUCGCCGGGGCGCAGCCCUCAGCUGUAAACAAUUACGCCGCUACUGCUCGUUCAGGGCAGUUUUGAGACGCGAAGGAAGUCUGCAAUCAGUUAUAUCUCCAAUUACCAUAAAAAUAUAUUAGCCAUUCAUUCAUUUAUUAAUGAUUCAUCAGUUAACCACACAUAAUGAGCAAAUAAUUAGCAAUGCUGUACGGUUGCCAAAAUUGAAGAAGUGUUGGCAUUUUAAAGAUGAAAGGUUGCAUUUAUGCAAAAAGUCUGGUGGUGAUAAAGUUAAUACAGAAGAUAAUUAUAAAAGUGGCUGUCCUAUUUUAGCGGCUGAGGUCCCGCAAAACUUGCCUAAUUGAACUGAAAUUAAUAUUCUUCAAAAGCACGCGUGUUACUGCAUAUUAGCUGCUGAAUUUACUCGGCGAUCUCCCUUCAGUAAGGUACCUCGCACAAUACAAGUUAAUAAAAUGCUAGACAGCAAGACUGCGGUCUUUGUUUGCUCGGUUCGGGGCCUUGCGGAAAACAAUAAAUUGCAUUCAUGUCAGCCGAGGCCCAUCCCUUUGCUAAUUACCGUUUGGUGCUGAAAUGACUUCUGUGAAAUUGGGAGCAGGGAGGAGCACACAGCCGUACAAGGGAGGCUUUUCAAGUCGCGGCAGUAAAUGCGAGAUAGGCCUUAGGCGCACAGAUGUUAAAACAGUGAAUUCCCCUACAGAUUAGACUAAUGGAAACCCUGUCAGGGUAAGUCAAAUCCGGGGUCUGUGGUCAAAAUCUAAUUAAUGUUCCUGUACUUAAAAAGAAUAUGAAUGCCUGGAGGUGAUGAAGAAUGCACAAGAAACCCGCUUGUUUGUAAAAUUGUUAGCGCGGAUAGCAAGUACCGGGGAGCUGGUCCUUGCGAGGUAGCACCUGCCAGCUCACCGCGCCGGCUGCGGCGGGUUGUCGGCGGCGCCGGCCCCUCGGCACGUCCGACUCACGUUGGAGCCCUGCGCGGUGGCGAGCGCCCGUCCCCGUCCCCUGUGGACGCUCAGCAGCGGCGUUCAACGCCCCCCUUUCGUUCGGCACGGCCGAGCGGCCUUGACAUCUCUGUUCAGGAAGCAAGUGUGCAGCUGAAGAUGUAAGGAAGAGCCAGCUUCUCCCUGUGCAAAACCAGAGGCUCGUCCUGCUCCGUUUCGCUUGAGGACACUGCUGGGGCUCUUACGGCGCUUUCACAGCUGCACCAUGCACGGCCUGUGCAAUAACAGAGGAAAUGAAUUUAUAAUGCAACAAUCUUUUCAUUUUCACAAGCACAAAAAUUCCCCUAAAUACUUAAAAUAACAUUCAGAGUGGGACAGACCUUAAAUUUCGAAUAAAUGAAACCCUAAUCCAGUGUGUUGCUGAAACAACCUUGUUAUUAAAGAAAUAAAUUUGAAACAGCAAGUGGUUUGAGAAUUUUGGAUUUAAUUAUUUAAAUCUACUUAAGAUAACUCUCUAGCACUGUUUGGGUUUCCUGUUGAGAGCAUGUUUUCCAGGAAAGGUAUCCCACCCAGUGCCUUGGAGAUAUUAACUUUCUCAUGCAACAGUGGCUUAAGCAGUAGAGACAAAUAAUACUUAUUGUUACAAUACAGAAAGGUAUUGUGUGGUAACUUGGUAAAAUUUAUUUCCUUGAACCAUUCUAUCAUGCAAACUGCAGAGAGCCACGCGGGGGAUUUGGAGAGACCUGUUCUCCUUGGCUAAAUGGCUGACAUGAUGCUGCAUCCAAAUGUGCUUUAGGUAAAAAGAGAGAAAUUUGCUGCAGCGUAGCGUGGACCCAGCUGCGACCAGCAGUGGGUCCAGCACUGGCUCGACCAGUAGGUUUGCCAUUGCAAAUGGCUAAUUUGGGGUAUUAUAUGUUAGUUGAAUAGCGGUAAUCAGGUUUUAUUCAUUGCUGAUUGCUAUGUUGCAACACACUUCCUCCAAGAAGGCUCAUCCCCGUAGACGCAGUUUUGGUCAAAAUCUACUGCUGCGUCUUUAUGGUUUAAGAUUGUGUCCCAGUACGGCACAGAGCGAGAAGGCGAUAAAUCCCCCUUUUUCUUUUGCAGGAUCAUAACAGAAACUUCCCGCAUCUGGGGUCUGCGUUGGCGUAGGGAUUGGAGGCGCGUGUUGCGGGUGCGCCUGUCCCAAGCCAAACCUGGAAAGGGCGGAGGAGCGGUGAGGCCUUCCCCAGCCCGGCGAGCGUGUCCCGAGCCGCAGCAGGGCUGUCCGGGCCCCCGGUGCCCCCGCGGUGGCUGGGCCCCAGCCGCUGCACACGGCCGAGCCUCGAUGCCCUGCUGGCAGCACCUACCCCGUGCGAGUGGUCCCCGGGGUACCUGGCCCUUCAGCUUUACCGACGCUAUUGAAUUGUCAGUCUUGCAAACGCACACUGAAUUUGUCCUUUUUAUCACGUCUAAGGGUGGGAUCUUGGAGCAAGUUCAGUUUUCUAGCCAAGUUUGUGGGGACAGGAAAAACCAAACUGAGUUUCAAUUAACGUCGUGAAGUGGUUCAUCUGGCACUUGUAGUGCUCAGAGGUGGUCAGCGCGGCUCUUCGUCGUCCAAGUCCAGCAGCACGAACCUUUGCACCAAGCCUCUGCUCGGCUCGCCCCGCCCCGGGGCGCUCUGCAAACCACGGCACAGCCUCCUCUUGCCAGCGGAGAAGAGGGAAGAGAAAUGAAAACUGUGGUUUUGCUUCCCAAUUAAGUAAAAAGAAUGGAUGAUGUUUAUGAAACACAGAGGUUUUUUCACUGAAAAUGCUUACUGCUUUUUAAGCAGUCUGACUCCUUUUAACCUCAUGUCUCACUCAGGCUGGUUUCAGCAAUGCAGUAUGCCAAGCGUGGCGCUCUCGGGAGGAAGGUCGUCCGUCGCGAAGCUGUGCUGACUUGUGUGAUGCAGUUGAACAUUUGCUAGGCUUCAGGCUGGGACCAUCGAAGUCCCUCGUCUCGUGUUCCUUGAAAGCAGAUCUAUGAGGAGAAAAGAGUCCCAGAGGCAAUAGUUUUAUCAACUUUUCCUGCUGCCCAGACGAUGGUUCAGCGAUAAAUAAACGGAGCGUGCUUGCGCUGGAGGCCUCCUACGCGCCGCCUUGGGCCAGCCCAAUGCCCGGCUGCACGGGAAGGGGCUGACGCACCGGCCGCGGCAGAGAGCUGGCGGCAAGAAUUGCUUUGCCCUAGCCAGGCAGCCUCUGAGACUUGUCAGCGAUGUAAAUCAGGCUGCUCAGCGGCAGCAGCCCGGCACGUGCCCUGGGAGCGGGGACAGGAGCUUUGGGAUGCCCGGAGGCAGGUUAUGGAAGAGAACGGCUACGUAAAAUUCGCACCCCUCUGGCAAGGGAGCCUACGAACAAGGGGCUUCUGGGAAAUUCCUGCUGAGACGAAUAUUAUGGUGAGACACUGUGCCCUGCACCAUGGCUCAGCAGAGAAGGAAAUCCAUGUCCCUCAAAGCUGAAGAGCUCGGAAAACACCCCAAAAAUACUGAAGCCAGUGGCUUCAUGCACACACAGCCUGUCUGGAGCCGGUCACAGCUACAAGGCUCGAGAUUGGAUCUGGGUCCAAAUAUCCCACAGUUUAAAGUGGUAUAAAGUUUUAAUCAGCCCUUGUUGUGAGGUGCCGUGCUGCACGGUGUGCUGUGCGCUGCCGGGAGGCUUCAGUCUAGAGCUAGAACUUUUUGAGAAGCUUCUGGCCCCAUUAGACGUCACAUUAAAAAAAGUGUCCUACGUGGUUUCAUGCCAGUAGAGAGGUCACAGCACGCAUGGACUUAGAAGCAUAAAUCCCCUUAAACAGCAGGAACUGUAAGGAGAAGCUUUACGGGACUGCAAACCACUUGGAAUAUGACAGCUAGAAGGAGUCCUCCUUGCUGUCAGCUGAAGCCUGUCUUGUGCAGAGUGAACAGGAGAUCUUGGUUCAGCUCUGCCAGGGGUUAGGACAGAGGCUGUUUGUCUGAAGAGACAAGGGUGCGGUGGCAAUGCUCGGUGCCAGGUACUCGAGAAACAUGGAUUAUCUUUAAUUCGCCUUUUGGAAAGAGACUACCUUCAACUCCCUCAUGUUUCCAGCGGGGUGAAGGAGUCCACACCAGAAGCAGGUACGUGUGCAUUAGUUGCUCUGGUGUAACUACCCCUGUAUCGCUCUUUCGAUUUAGGGUAGCCUUAACCCUUGCUUAGACUCGUUCUUGUGUUUAUAUUCUCCCCAGCAGUGUUCGUGGGGGCUUUGCAGUGCAAAUCCUCCCCAGAUCACCUACCAGGGAGCAUCUCUCCCUCUGCUAGCUGGCACUAAUGGGAUUGGUACGUUUUCCUUUACUCUCUCCCGCCCUGAGGUAGCCUUUUUUCUCCCACGGCUCUGGACUCACUUUAGAUGUAGGGUUGUCUUACAGACAGGUGAAUACUGCAGGGGAAAUUGGAGGCAGAUGCAGACCUGCUUUCCGAGAAAAGCUUGUCAGUGAAAGCAUGAAGGUAUAUCCUAGACAGAAUUAACUUGCGUGAGUUGUUAAUGCUAUGCAAUGGACAGUGGCUAGUGGUUUUUAGAAACUACUGCUGCUUUCACAAUUAAUGAAGAUUCAUCAUUCCAUUAGAUCAUCUCUAACCUACUGUAAUUGUUCUGAUUUUUAUUUUUUACCUUGUUCUCCAGUUCAUGUCUAAAUACAAGAAGAUGUUUAUAUUGCAUACAUUCAGCUUUAAUUGGCCCUUAAAAGAAGGUGUUGAUUAGAAUCUUCUCAACAUCAACAGCUAGCUCGCACAACAUUCUGUAAUUACUGUUUAUUAAUUUAGUUCAAGUGGCACAGUUGAAAGCCCUGCUCAGAUGGGAGAAGUAAAUUGUCACUGGUAUUGAAUAUGUAAAUUAUGUGCCGUGUAAGUUUCCAUGAAGAAUGUUUAAAGUUAAAUGCGACGCACAUAAAGCCUUCCAGUUUCAUCUAAUCCAACCAGAUGACGGCUUUGCAAAAAGUGUCAUGAAAAUUUACCAGCCCUGGCAAAAACCUUACUUGCCUACCCUUUACUUUUUUUAUUAACAUAAUCAUGAUGAUAAUAAUAAUUUAUUUGCCAGUCAAAAAAAAAAAUUAUUCAUGCUGGUUGGAUGGAGAUUUGCAAGGCUGCCAAUUGAAUCUGAACUACACGUUGCUGUAGUAUAGGCAUUCAGCAGCCUGGAUUUGCUGCCCUGGUGCAGUAACCCUUCUUUCUCUUUAAUUAGCUUAUAAAGUCAGAAUUUCUUAAACAAAGUACUCAUUAAACAUUGCCUUGUUACAUUACUUUAAAAUGCAAUUAAAAGUUUUAAGAGUGGUGCAGAGUUUGUGUACUGUUGUCAGUGUCCAUGUCACUCACUAUCAAUUUCCACCCACUCACACAGAUCAGAGACCUCCUGUUAAAUAUAGACGGCACUUUAUAGCUCUUGUGUAUAGACUAGGCACAAAAACAAUACACUGAUGAGGACGACCUGAUUGCAAAUCAUACUUCAAGGAAAGAGAGGGGAAUGGAGGGGAGGAUAGUUGAGUGGUUAGAGGAAGGAGGACCCGGGAGUCCUUCCACCUCUGCAGUUGUCACUCUGUGACCUUCUGUGUGGGAGUAGCUACGCAUUCCUGGUAAGUGUGCUGCUUCGUAGUCCUCCCAAACAAAGUUGCAUGGAAAAACCCCACCAUUAUUGUAUUGUGUAUCUGAAAGAAUGAGACCAGACAUCUUGUUAAAAAGGGAAGAAAAAUAUCCAAAUCCUGAAUGUAGCCUGGGCCUUCACCCAGUCCUCACACUCUCGCUGGCUGCUGUUAUCAUGAAUGGCACUAAUCAAUUCCAGGAAAUCUCUACACCAAGCAUUUUGUCACAUGUGGUUACAUCAUUCCUUCUAACCUCGAGGGCUUCCUGUUGACAUCUCUGGAGCUCUUCUGCUACCAAAUGGUAUUAGACAAAAUACCAAACGGUAUUUUUAGCCAUCUGUGCCAGCCGAAAGGAAUCCAAGUGUUUCCAUUUUGUAGCUUUUACCUGCCUGAUCUCAUCUUUGCUCCCUAAAACAAAGCAAACCUUUGUAGGUCUGCUCAGGGUCUGCCCAGGUGUUUAUAAAGGACAGAGGGAGCAUGUGAGAGGUUUAUUGAGACAGAAGGGGCUAAUGCCUCUGCAGAAUUUAUUUGUUUUUAAUGUCUACCAGAUUGCUAAUCCAGCCCGUCAGUUGUGUAACUUCUGUUGUAACUUCCACCCCAGGAGGCUGUUGCUCCGUUUCUUUCUGAAUUCCUUCCCCAGAGACGCUGCUUCCCCGUGUGGUGUACGUUUCACCUCGUGGUGGACGUCCAAGUGCUGUUCUGCAAGACAUACCCAGCCCUCGCAGAGCCAGCCCCAAAGGCAGUAACCUACAAACUCUGACCACAUCACCAGUGUGAAACUGCUGAUUAACCUUUUGACUCUGACAAUUGGGACUUCUCUCAACACCAACUGACAGGCUGUCUCUGGCAGAAGAAUACAGUUCAUCAAAAGUGUCUGCAGGUUGUCAAACUCGGUGAGAUUUGGGGACACUCGGAGGCUGUCAUGGCCAACAAGAAGAUUUUCUGUAGGGUUCUGCCAUCAUUCACCCUCAGGAAAUAAUCACUCACUACACACUGCAUGCUCUCAUGAUAGAGCUCUAUUUGAGAGAAAAGAGCCAUUUUAUCAAAGGACAAUAUAUCCCUUCUCUUGGUCCAUGCAGCUUCCAUUAUCAGACCAUAAUAAAUCAUAUUUAUGUUCUCAGUUAAUAAGACUGAUUACAAUGCAGGUUACAGGCAUGGGAAAAGCAAAGCAGGUGAAAAGAUGUUUUAAUGAAAAUAUGAUAAGCAAACAGCUUCUUGUGAACAUUUCAGGCUGUUAUUUGUAAUGAUCACAGGCAAUUUUUGAUACAUCUUCUUUAGCAAUGGUUUAAGCUGCAUAAAUUGGCUUGCCACUUUAUACGUUGAAAUAGGAAGAAUCUCAGUGUCCUUCUUAUGUUGUCUAGAAUCAUUAUAUACAUUAUAAGCAUAAAAUGAGUUUAAUGUAUGUGCUUUGAAAAGAAGGGGAAAACAGAAAAUCAGGGAAGACUGAUUUUAAUGCUGCUCAAAAUGAUUUUGAAAUUUUCUACUCAUCUUUGUUACUAACGGUGCAUUUUCCAUGAAAUUUAGGAAUGACAUGUACUGCUUUCAUCUCCUUAAAAUUAAUAUACUGCUCUUUCUGUUUUUCUCAAUUUCUUCAAAGUUACUUUUAGAGCACUGUACAAAGAGACAGAGAGAAAUUCUCCACUCGACAUGUGAGCAUAACUGCUAUUAAUACCGAGGGGAGUUAAGUGUGUGCCUCUAGAAGAGAAUAUACCCAGCAUUUCAUAUUGAAAGGUGUGUUAUUUAAGAAGUGCAAGCAUGUUUAGCUCCAACAUAUUUGGCACAUUCAAGGGCCAACUUCCUUAGGAUUUUUUAAAGUGAUUAAGAUCUUUUUUGGUAAGACAAAAGUUCUGCAGCAUUUUGAGCAUAUACUGUUCAGAGGGAAGCAGCCGAUGGAAUGUCUUGCUUUUAUCUUGGGAAAAGUCUUCUUUUCCAAUUGUUACAUUCAGCACCAUGCUUUCAAGAUGGAGUUAGAAAUUUAAGGAAUAAUCUCCUGUGGCUGACGUAUGAUUUUGACCAGGCACCUGAAAUUCUGCAGCACUUGCAGAAUGCUGGUGGCAAAAAAUUUCCUGGUGUUCUGUAUCUACAGAAACUAUUCUGGUCUCUAGCAUUUUCAAAACUCACUCCCAAGCAAAUUUCAAAGCUCUGUAACUGGCCUGGCACCAGGGAAUGACCAUGAAAUUCCCUUAACCCUUUUAGAGCUCUUCACCAAGAGAAAUGCUCACAUGAGAAAUGGCAAACUGCUCUUCAAAGGCAAUAUCCUGCCUAUGACAACAGACGUAGAUAAUGCGCUUCAUGAUGGAACUGCUUGAUACAGAGAAAAACAUGUUGUAACUGCCUUCACCAUGAAAGAGGUUUAAAAAUGCAGCCUGCCAACUCCACAAAACCCAGAGCUGCUAUUUCAGUGAAAGGCCAGUGGAUUGUAUUUUUCCUGUCAGUUUUCACUAACCUCAAACAUCACUGUUAUGACAGACUGUCAUCCAAGCAGCCGGCACUGCAGGGCCAUUCAAACAAGCGGGAAGAAAGCAAACAUGGAGGGAACCUAACAGUCCAAUUAGUGAGCAGGGGGUAUAAGUGUGCAUGGGAGUGAAUCACUUUUGUAUAAUGUUACUGAUUAUUGAAAAUGAAACAUUUAAAAGAAAGUAAACAAAAAAUGCUUUCUGA